GGAAGCGGUGGCUCAGUGGUUAAGGCUCUGGGCUACUGAUUGGGCGGUUGUGAGUUCAAAUCUCAGCCUUGCCA